GAAACUGCGAAUGGCUCAUUAAAUCAGUUAUCGUUUAUUUGAUAGUACCUUACUACAUGGAUAACCGUGGUAAUUCUAGAGCUAAUACAUGCUAAAAACCUCGACUUCGGAAGGGGUGUAUUUAUUAGAUAAAAAACCAAUGCCCUUCGGGGCUCCUUGGUGAAUCAUAAUAACUUAACGAAUCGCAUGGCCUUGCGCCGGCGAUGGUUCAUUCAAAUUUCUGCCCUAUCAACUUUCGAUGGUAGGAUAGUGGCCUACCAUGGUAUCAACGGGUAACGGGGAAUUAGGGUUCGACUCCGGAGAGGGAGCCUGAGAAACGGCUACCACAUCCAAGGAAGGCAGCAGGCGCGCAAAUUACCCAAUCCCGACACGGGGAGGUAGUGACAAUAAAUACUGAUACAGGGCUCUUUUGGGUCUUGUAAUUGGAAUGAGUACAAUUUAAAUCCCUUAACGAGGAACAAUUGGAGGGCAAGUCUGGUGCCAGCAGCCGCGGUAAUUCCAGCUCCAAUAGCGUAUAUUAAAGUUGUUGCAGUUAAAAAGCUCGUAGUUGAACCUUGGGCCUGGCUGGCCGGUCCGCCUCACCGCGUGUACUGGUCCGGCCGGGCCUUUCCUUCUGGGGAACCUCAUGCCCUUCACUGGGCGUGUUGGGGAACCAGGACUUUUACUUUGAAAAAAUUAGAGUGUUCAAAGCAGGCCUUUGCUCGAAUACAUUAGCAUGGAAUAAUAGAAUAGGACGUGUGGUUCUAUUUUGUUGGUUUCUAGGACCGCCGUAAUGAUUAAUAGGGAUAGUCGGGGGCAUCAGUAUUCAAUCGUCAGAGGUGAAAUUCUUGGAUUGAUUGAAGACUAACUACUGCGAAAGCAUUUGCCAAGGAUGUUUUCAUUAAUCAGUGAACGAAAGUUAGGGGAUCGAAGACGAUCAGAUACCGUCGUAGUCUUAACCAUAAACUAUGCCGACUAGGGAUCGGACGGUGUUAGUAUUUUGACCCGUUCGGCACCUUACGAGAAAUCAAAGUU
rnacentral:rRNA from 1 species